rnacentral:rRNA from 1 species
CACGUAGGGGGCGAGCGUUGUCCGGAUUUCUUGGGCGUAAAGAGCUCGUAGGCGGCUCGGUAAGUCAGGUGUGAAAACUCUAGGCUCAACCUAGAGACGCCACCUGAUACUGCCGUGGCUAGAGUCCGGUAGGGGAGCAUGGAAUUCCUGGUGUAGCGGUGAAAUGCGCAGAUAUCAGGAGGAACACCAAUGGCGAAGGCAGCUCGCUGGGACGGUACUGACGCUGAGACGCGAAAGCGUGGGGAGCGAACAGG